GACGAACGCUGGCGGCGUGCUUAACACAUGCAAGUCGAACGGAAAGGCCUUUUCGGAGGUACUCGAGUGGCGAACGGGUGAGUAACACGUGGGUGAUCUGCCCUGCACUCUGGGAUAAGCCUGGGAAACUGGGUCUAAUACCGGAUAGGACCGCACUUUAGUGUGUGUGGUGGCAAGUUUUUUCGGUGUAGGCUGAGCCCGCGGCCUAUCAGCUUGUUGGUGGGGUAAUGGCCUACCAAGGCGGCGACGGGUAGCCGGACUGAGAGGUUGGUCGGCCACAUUGGGACUGAGAGACGGCCCAGACUCCUACGGGAGGCAGCAGUGGGGAAUAUUGCACAAUGGGCGCAAGCCUGAUGCAGCGACGCCGCGUGGGGGAUGACGGCCUUCGGGUUGUAAACUCCUUUCGCCAGGGACGAAGCGUUUUGUGACGGUACCUGGAGAAGAAGCACCGGCUAACUACGUG
rnacentral:rRNA from 1 species